ACGCUAAGAGGUGGGAAAGGUACCCCACGCGCCUUUACGGUUAAAAAGAGAUGCGGGAUACGCCGCCCCGCCUUAGCGU
rnacentral:ncRNA from 1 species